rnacentral:rRNA from 1 species
CCUACGGGUGGCAGCAGUGAGGAAUAUUGGUCAAUGGACGAGAGUCUGAACCAGCCAAGUAGCGUGAAGGAUGACUGCCCGAUGGGUUGUAAACUUCUUUUAUAUGGGAAUAAAAUGUUCCACGUGUGGGAUUUUGUAUGUACCAUUUGAAUAAGGAUCGGCUAACUCCGUGCCCGCAGCCGCGGUAAGACGGAGGAUCCGAGCGGUAUCCGGGUUUAUUGGGUUUAAAGGGAGCGUAGGUGGAGUGUUAAGUCAGUUGUGCAAGUUUGCGGCUCAACCGUAGAAUUGCAGUUGGAACUUGCAGUCUUGAGUACAGUAGAGGUGGGCGGAAUUCGUGGUGUAGCGGUGAAAUGCUUAGAUAUCACGAAGAACUCCGAUUGCGAAGGCAGUUCACUGGACUGCAACUGACACUGAGGCUCGAAAGUGUGGGUAUCAAACAGGAUUAGAUACCCGUGUAGUC